ACUAUUUUGGCAGAUUAGUGCAAUAAAUUUAGAAUUUAUUUAUGUAAAUUAUAUUUACAAAUAGUA
rnacentral:tRNA from 3 species